UUAUUGGAGAGUUUGAUCCUGGCUCAGGACGAACGCUGGCGGCGUGCCUAAUACAUGCAAGUCGAGCGAAUCUGAGGGAGCUUGCUCCCACAGAUUAGCGGCGGACGGGUGAGUAACACGUGGGCAACCUGCCUGUAAGACUGGGAUAACUUCGGGAAACCGGAGCUAAUACCGGAUAAUCCUUUUCUACUCAUGUAGAAAAGCUGAAAGAUGGCUUCGGCUAUCACUUACAGAUGGGCCCGCGGCGCAUUAGCUAGUUGGUGAGGUAACGGCUCACCAAGGCGACGAUGCGUAGCCGACCUGAGAGGGUGAUCGGCCACACUGGGACUGAGACACGGCCCAGACUCCUACGGGAGGCAGCAGUAGGGAAUCUUCCGCAAUGGACGAAAGUCUGACGGAGCAACGCCGCGUGAGUGAUGAAGGUUUUCGGAUCGUAAAACUCUGUUGUUAGGGAAGAACAAGUACCGUUCGAAUAGGGCGGUACCUUGACGGUACCUAACCAGAAAGCCACGGCUAACUACGUGCCAGCAGCCGCGGUAAUACGUAGGUGGCAAGCGUUGUCCGGAAUUAUUGGGCGUAAAGCGCGCGCAGGUGGUUUCUUAAGUCUGAUGUGAAAGCCCCCGGCUCAACCGGGGAGGGUCAUUGGAAACUGGGAGACUUGAGUGCAGAAGAGGAAAGUGGAAUUCCAAGUGUAGCGGUGAAAUGCGUAGAGAUUUGGAGGAACACCAGUGGCGAAGGCGACUUUCUGGUCUGUAACUGACACUGAGGCGCGAAAGCGUGGGGAGCGAACAGGAUUAGAUACCCUGGUAGUCCACGCCGUAAACGAUGAGUGCUAAGUGUUAGAGGGUUUCCGCCCUUUAGUGCUGCAGCAAACGCAUUAAGCACUCCGCCUGGGGAGUACGGCCGCAAGGCUGAAACUCAAAGGAAUUGACGGGGGCCCGCACAAGCGGUGGAGCAUGUGGUUUAAUUCGAAGCAACGCGAAGAACCUUACCAGGUCUUGACAUCCUCUGACAAUCCUAGAGAUAGGACGUUCCCCUUCGGGGGACAGAGUGACAGGUGGUGCAUGGUUGUCGUCAGCUCGUGUCGUGAGAUGUUGGGUUAAGUCCCGCAACGAGCGCAACCCUUGAUCUUAGUUGCCAGCAUUCAGUUGGGCACUCUAAGGUGACUGCCGGUGACAAACCGGAGGAAGGUGGGGAUGACGUCAAAUCAUCAUGCCCCUUAUGACCUGGGCUACACACGUGCUACAAUGGAUGGUACAAAGGGCUGCAAGACCGCGAGGUUUAGCCAAUCCCAUAAAACCAUUCUCAGUUCGGAUUGCAGGCUGCAACUCGCCUGCAUGAAGCCGGAAUCGCUAGUAAUCGCGGAUCAGCAUGCCGCGGUGAAUACGUUCCCGGGCCUUGUACACACCGCCCGUCACACCACGAGAGUUUGUAACACCCGAAGUCGGUGGGGUAACCGCAAGGAGCCAGCCGCCUAAGGUGGGACAGAUGAUUGGGGUGAAGUCGUAACAAGGUAGCCGUAUCGGAAGGUGCGGCUGGAUCACCUCCUUU
rnacentral:rRNA from 1 species